UACGGAGGGUGCAAGCGUUGUCCGGAUUUAUUGGGUUUAAAGGGUGCGUAGGCGGCCCUCUAAGUCAGUGGUGAAAUACUGCAGCUUAACUGUAGCAUUGCCAUUGAUACUGGAGGGCUUGAGUACAGAUGAGGUAGGCGGAAUUUAUGGUGUAGCGGUGAAAUGCAUAGAUACCAUAAAGAACACCUAUUGCGAAGGCAGCUUACUAAGCUGUAACUGACGCUGAGGCACGAAAGCGUGGGGAGCGAACAGG
rnacentral:rRNA from 1 species